rnacentral:rRNA from 1 species
UACAGAGGUCUCAAGCGUUGUUCGGAUUCAUUGGGCGUAAAGGGUGUGUAGGUGGCGCGCUAAGUCGGGUGUGAAAUUUCGGAGCUUAACUCCGAAACUGCAUUCGAUACUGGCGUGCUUGAGGACUGGAGAGGAGACUGGAAUUCAUGGUGUAGCAGUGAAAUGCGUAGAGAUCAUGAGGAAGACCAGUGGCGAAGGCGGUUCUCUGGGACGGUACUGACGCUGAGACGCGAAAGCGUGGGGAGCGAACAGG